UGGAAUGAGUAACCUCAUCUCCCACAGAGAACAUCAGGAGUUACAGAUACUGAUGUCCUCACUCAAUGGCAUCACUACCCAGAGGGAUCAAGCUGUAACUGAUGCAGCUGUGUUACUGACUGGGCUGGUAAGUGGAAGCACUCUUAGGGGGUGCCAUUAGAUGAAGUCACUGUAAUGUACCAUUAGUAAGCCUGCAAAAAUGAGUACCCUCUUCUAAUCUGAAAAGUGUUGUGGUUGAGAAUACACCCAUUGGAUGUCCUCAAGGGAAGAUUUCUUUCCCACAUACUGACUCUAUCAGUGUUACCAGCCGGCAUUUCACUAGCAUGAGACAGCUUUGUAACAUUUCACAGACCCCUACAUCAUGCUGAGUAGUGCUGGAUCAUCUAUUAUUAAUACGCUUACAUUUUUUCUAGACUAGAAGUAUCUUAUUUUCUUGUUAAAUCUUCCAUUACUUUAAGAUGGUUUCAAGGUCUGUUCUGCUCUCAUUUUAUUAGUUGGGAACAAAAGCUUUUCAAAUAUCAGAAGUUAAUAUAUGCUGAUUUCUGGAUAAGCAAGAAACUACAUCAGAUUUUGAGGCUAUUUUAUUAUAUAAUGAUAUCUUUAGGUUUCAUACACUGUUUUUAUAAAAUAGUUUCCUUUUCCUUAUUUGAGUGCAUAUCCAUAUAGAGUAACAGUUUUGCAUUAGAAAUGCUGGCUGCAUGGCAAUGUGAGACUCUUGCCUAUAAUUAUAACCAGUUAUUAUUAUAUGGUGUGCAUAAAGAAUUCAAAGAACUUCAAAGUUACAGAAUUAAAAUUGUGUUUGGUUACACAGGUUGAUGGAGACAGUCACAUGUUCAUUCUGCUUUGAGAUGGCCUGAGGCAAGGCAGUGUGCAUCUGGGAACUGUGAAGUUAGUUAGCAUGGUGUGAUGCCUUGGUUAACGAGCCUGUGGAGAAUACCAUAGCUCAGACACAGUACAGUGCUAAUGCAUCCACAAGGCUUCUGGAAGAAGCUGGCCUGUAUCUGGAUGAGCUGGAACAUAGGCAAAGCAGUCAGACUAACUCUGGAAAAUAUAUGCAGGCCAACUAGUAUAAAAACAGGAAAGUUAUCAAGGUGUGAGGGUGCACAUUCUUUGAAAUGCUCAGGUUAUUAUGAAGAAAGGCACUGGGAGAGCAGACUGGGUCUACCAGUUACUGCUUUGUUGGAUUCCAGCUUAUUGCUUUGAUCAAAACCUGAUUUGUUCAUCCCAGUCAGCUUUCUGUCUUGGGUUGGUAUUUCUUGGACAGCGGAAUGGAAUAGACCACCUUAAUCCAUAAUGCUGUUGUAACAUGGUUUGGGUAUUAGGUGAAAGGUAAGCAUGAAAAGGAGUAUCAUGACAGAGAAGUGCACCAGCCGAAUGUCAGGAGUGCCACACUGACAUCCUGCUGCUAAUGGCCAGGUUAGCCUGGGAUGGUUUUACCUUUGUCCCCUGUGUAAGUUUGGCCUGGCUCUCUCGCCGAGUCCAAGCUGUCUCCUCCCCCCUCCCAUUCUCUCAAGAGAGGAAAAAAAAAUGAACCACAGAAAAACAAAUUAAAUACUUCCCUGAACGAGACAGCAGAACCGCGUGAAGCACCAACCAACUCCCCACGCCUCCUGAAGGGAACCGGAGAUAACGGCAGGUCGGAGCAGGCAGGCCCUGGCCUAUACAAGCAAAGACCGUCUGCAGAGAGACCUGUCACCUUCAGCCACCGGAAGAGAGCGAGCUCUCUUAUCUCCGCCUUAUUUAUAUGUUGCAUUACGUUAAAGGAUGAUAUGGAAUACUUCCUUAGAUUUCUGACCCCGUUGCUAGGGAAGGCCUAAAAAAUCCAAAAGCCAAUGCACUACAUCCUCCCAUGGCUGAAGCCUCUGUAAAUCCAUUAACAUAAGUGGAGUUAUGGUCAUUUAUACUUCCUGAAUAUCAGUUUUAAAAGAUAACAGCUGAGUACUUGAUGAAGAAAGGAAGAGCUGUGAGCCAAACCUGUAACUCAGGGCUGGAACCAGCACAUUCCACAGCAUCAUGCUGGAAUAUUGGUAGAAGAUUAAUGAAGUAUAAUGGAGCCAAGCAUAGAAUCAGAUCCCUACAAAAGCAGAAGNGAGAGAGAAUUCCCUUUUCUUCAGUGCCACAUGGGUUUCGUGAAUGAGUUGGGGCUGUGAAGGCAGUCACUGUGCUGCUUGGGGAUGCAGCUCUAACAGUUUCUUUUCCACCGCUCCCGACUCUUUAUUACUUAUACACACAAACUGAAGAUGC